UUCGGGAAAAAACAAAAGGAUUGGAACUUUUAUUUUUAAUUUAGCUGAAACAUUUCAAUUGGUUGAAAAAAAAAAGGAAAGAAAUCUUCUGUUUGGUUGAAACACUAAAUUUGAUUAGGAAAAUUAAUUAGAUCGAGAAGAAAAAAAAAUCCCAAUAAUACGUGUUCUUAAUUAGGUGAAAGUCUGCUCUGGGUGGUGAGACGUCGGUUGCUAAGGGUUGGCUCGUGGAACCGAGCUUCCGUCUGUACUGAGGAUACAGACAUGUUUUUUUGAUCUGUGCGUGGUCCACACGUGGGGGACUGAGUAUAAAAGACGGCUUCUGAAAGAGGGAGCGCGUUUGCAGAGUGAAGUAUUUUCAAGAUACGAGGGACCCGGGCCUAGAGGGGCCUAACGUUGAGGAAAUACUUCGGGAAAGGCUCUGUCGCCAGAUCAGGUUGGUUCCCUUUUUACGGAGACGUCCGAUAAAAAGGCAUUUUGGGAAGGUUCCGGCCGGAACACACAAAAAAUCUAAGGCAGGAAACCGCCGGACUCUGAAAGACGGGUUCGGGGCAAUUUGAGUCUACACCACCAGACAGCAACCGUACAAAACUAAACAACUGAGCGCGAUGAGGGUAAAUCCGGAUCUGGACUCCUUUCCCACCAUCAGCAGAAGAACCGAAGGAGAAGAAGCGCCGACCAACAACCAGAACAGGGUGGAAGCUCUGACACCACAGCAGCUGGAGGACACAGACCACAGCAUGGAGGCCUCACAGACUCUCACAACGUCUGCAGCCAUCACGUUCUGGGCUCAUCAGAUGAACCAGCUACUACAAGCGUGUGUGUCUGACACAGACACCUGCUUAUGACAAUCAGCAAAGGAAAACAAGCACAGAGCAACAGCAGAGAAGACGUGCUCUGACACAGACACUGGUUGAAACAACAGGAGAGGCUUCAGACGUGAUCGGCCCAAAAGAGCUGCACCUGAGGAUCCAGGAAAGGUCUGUCAUCGAGGAACAACUGUCCCAUUGAAAGGCUUCACCCACUGGCGCUCACAUGAGACUGAUGGUUGGGGAAGGAGGAAGGUGACGGUUCCUUUUCACGUGACGUACAAGACGGUACCGCAAACACACACACACAUUCAUACACGCAAUGAAGAAACACGCUUACAGCUGAUACACGCUCAAAUUCAUGUUCAUGCUUAUCUGCUCGCAAUGAAGAAUCGCUUUUUGCUUAAAAAAAUCCCACAGAGUGAUUUUAAAAUGAUGACAAACAGCUAAAUGACAACUGCUGCAUGACUUUACAGUCUGAUGGGUUCAAACUAUUUUAACUUGCAACAAAUUCAGUAAUAAAAUCCUCUAUGUUUCUAAAAGGGUUUGUGCACAAUAUAGGUUUGUCUGGCCAGACUAGAAGACUAUAGGAAACAAAACAGACUAUAGAGAAAACAAAACAGACUGUAGAAAAAACAAAAAAACAGACUAAAGGGAAGACGACUAUUAGAGAGAAGUAAUAAUAAUUACUGUACGUACCAGACUAUUAAAGAAAACUUACUGUUUCACUGUCUUGUGCAACAUCUGACAGAAAGACACCUUAACAUUAAUUUUUGCUUUCAAACUUGUGCCCAGUAAAAUUUUUAGGAAGACAUCUGAUGUGUAGUUUAGGUAUUUGAUUGAUUUCCACUCCAGACGGAGUGCAGGUUACAUCUACAGACAUUCUAAAUAAUCCCUCUUUUGUUGGUGUUAACUUCAGCUCAGCUGUGCUCUUAUCAUUGGCUGCUGAGGGGGGGCUGUAACUGAGGCCCUCACACAGGCUGCAUCACAGCUUGUUUAUGAUUUCACACACACACACACAAACUGACCUCAACUUCCCUCUUUUGGGAUGAACACAGGUCUGCGCUUGCGAUUUCAUUUACUAAUGAACAAAAAGAUUUUGAUUUUUAUUCUACAGUUCCACACGUCCCUCUGUGAAACAUGAUGGAGACAGAUGCAGGACGUGGGUCCUUUCGUGAACAGAUGUCAACGGGGUGGAGACUGGUGAACGACUUCCGACCCCAUGUGAUGUAUUCAACUACUUUGCAUAGUUUUAGAAAACUUUUUUUAUUCUGCCUGUUAUGUGCAGCAAACAGUGAACUGGGUACCUCCACAUUCUAAUGACACACAUUACACGCUUUCGUUUUUAUUUUUAUUUCAGAGGACGCUCUGACCCAACACUCAGCCUUACAGGAAGCCCUGCUUCCCUGUGGCUCACACACAGACAUGAUGUAGGUUCAAUCAGAGGAUGUGAACCAGUGGUCAUCGCACCUAAAUCUGACCACAGACCAUGUAAACAACAACACCCUCUUAAAGGAAGCCAUAGAUGGUGUUACUGCAGACACCACUAAGCUACUGAAACACUGGAUGCUACAGGCCACAAAGAGAGCCUGUCUAAAUUACACUUUGUUCAGACAAAGGUUAUUUUCUGGGUCAUUGUAAUUACAGCUGAUGGCAAAUCCAUCUCACCCAACAGAGUUAAAGCAAUGUGAAACCUGCCUAAACCGUGCACGUAAAAACAGCUGAUGUCUUUUCUAGGUCUUUGUUCUUAUUGUAGGAACUUCAUUCCUAACUUUACUGUUUGAGGCCCCACUCAGGGUUCUGAUGCAGACGUCUUCAUCGUCCACUUCUUGUCUCACGUGGACGUCUGAGGCUGAACAACGUUCACCGACCUCAUGCUUGCUCUUCAGGCUCCUACUUUGGGUCUUUCUGAUCUGACCCUACGCGACCUUUUACUCAAACAGUGCAUGAAAGAUCAGGUUGUACGAAAUCUGUUCUCAUGUCCACAGCUGUUUCCUUUAUCAUUGAGAUGGCUGUGAUUCUCUUGUUUGGUUUUUGCGUUAUCCCACUGGUUAGAGGUCUCAUCAUGCGUGCGACCUCAGCAACACUCUCGUAUCAAAUGACACAAUGCACUAUGUUCAAAAACCCCAACUCUAAUUUACUUAAUGACUUUGACGAUGGUCUUAGGCUAUCUAAUCACAAAAUAUAAUCUGAUACAAAUAUGAUUAUGAGCUUAUUUUCUUCACAUGCUCAUACAGAGGUUAUUCUUGUAUAACUACCCA